GAUUCCCCUAGUAACUGCGAGUGAAGCGGGAAAAGCUCAAAUUUAAAAUCUGGCGGUCUUUGGCCGUCCGAGUUGUAAUCUAGAGAAGUGUUACCCGCGUCGGACCGUGUAUAAGUCUCCUGGAAUGGAGCGUCAUAGAGGGUGAGAAUCCCGUCUUUGACACGGACUACCGAGGCUUUUGUGGUGCGCUCUCAAAGAGUCGAGUUGUUUGGGAAUGCAGCUCAAAAUGGGUGGUAAAUUCCAUCUAAAGCUAAAUAUUGGCGAGAGACCGAUAGCGAACAAGUACCGUGAGGGAAAGAUGAAAAGAACUUUGGAAAGAGAGUUAAACAGUACGUGAAAUUGCUGAAAGGGAAACGCUUGAAGUCAGUCGCGUUGGCCGGAAAUCAACCUUGCUUCUGCUGGGUGUACUUUCUGGUUGACGGGCCAGCAUCAGUUUUGACCGGUGGAAAAAGUCCAAGGGAAUGUGGCAUCUCAGGAUGUGUUAUAGCCCUUGGUCGUAUACAUCGGUUGGGACUGAGGAAUUCAGCACGCCGCAAGGCCGGGUCUUUGACCACGUUCGUGCUUAGGAUGCUGGCAUAAUGGCUUUAAUCGACCCGUCUUGAAACACGGACCAAGGAGUCUAACAUGCCUGCGAGUGUUUGGGUGGAAAACCCGAGCGCGUAAUGAAAGUGAAAGUUGGGAUCCUUGUCAUGGGGAGCACCGACGCCCGGACCAGAAGUUUACGGACGGCUCCGCGGUAAANCAUGUAUGUUGGGACCCGAAAGAUGGUGNNCUAUGCCUGAAUAGGGUGAAGCCAGAGGAAACUCUGGUGGAGGCCCGUAGC
rnacentral:rRNA from 1 species